GCCGCAUUAGCUCAGUCGGUAGAGCACGUGAUUCGUAAUCACGGGGUCGCUGGUUCGAGUCCGGCAUGCGGCACCA
rnacentral:tRNA from 1 species